AAUUUUUGACUUUUUUAAGUUUGUACGUUAAAUCUGAAUUGAACUGUAGUAAUUUGUGUGGAUUUGGAUUAGACUUUUUUGGUUAAGUUUUUGAUCUUGGGGAGGGAUGGAAAACUUAUGGAGACUAGAAAUGAGUAACUUGUUAUCAAUGGCAAGUUAUGCUGAGAGGCAGAAAAAUAUAAUAGGUAAUGGUUUUCUUCUAUCUGACAGUCAAGGCUAUGUAAUAGACAAACUUGUUAAAUAAACCCAAUAUUAAUUUUGUAACAGAUAAUUGCAAAAUAGAACCACUGAAGUAAAUUUCCCUUGGUUUGUCAUUAUAAGAAAUUAAUUGCCAAUUGGAAAAUAAUGCCAGCAUUUUAAGCACCAAACUAACUGGAAAAAAUGCAUUGAAAUAGUGAUGCUAGGUAAUCAUUAGAUUGCUAGGGGUCAUUUUAUUCGUCUGUAGAAGCUAUUUUUACUUUGAAAUAGACAUUCAAACAAUCCUAAUACAUGAAAGUUUUCGUAAAAUUCCAUAAGUAUUUUUCUAAAUUUGAUUUUGUUGUCUGCUAGCCAAACAAAAGAAUUUCUGAACAGCUCUUAAGUGCCUUUUUAGCAUCUUAAAAAUAGUACCACCUUUAUAGGGUCCUAUAUUCUAUAUGGUUGGCAGCAGCCAGACAUUUCUAUAACAUCCCUGUGAAAAUAUCAAAGCCUAUUAGUCUUUAUAGGUUGGACCAUAUGUUAAUAUUUACUUUCAGAUGCUUUUGUUUGAAAGUACCACUAUCCAAGUGGUAAGCUUUUUUGGCUUUUGUUUAAGAUGAUUACAAAAAGGUUGUUGAUAAUAUACCUGUCUACUUUCAUGCUUCAUUUAUUUAUUUUUUCUAUUUUCUCGAUAGAAAAUAAAGGCCAGCAGCAGAACCAUCUAUAUGCAAUAGUUUCUUUCCUCAACUUUCCCUAAUUCAUCAUAGUAUUGCAUUUUGUUUAUAUUUUCAUUUUUUACCUAAAAGCUUGAAUAUUGUUGCAUCACUGACUUUUUUCAUGGCUACUUUAAAUUUUAAAGGGAAUAUAGUCCUUUAACCAUAAUACUGCCUAUAAUUGAAUGUGACAUUUUCAGCCUUUGAGUAAUAAGACAUGACAAUGCAUUUUAACUUCACCUCAGUUUUUUUUAUUUUGCUGUGGCCACUGACAUGUAGAGUAUGACUUUUUUUAUGCAAUUUUUUUCCCCAAAACUCUUCCUUAUUACUUAUUAAAGAAACAUCUCAUUUGAAACUGUUUAGUAUUAGGCACUGCCUGUAUGUGGUGCUAAAUUUGCCAGUUGUUUGAAUUGAUGACAGGGUUAUAUUUUUGAUCAAAACUGUUAGAUCAACCUUAAGUGAUGUAAUAGAUUGACUAUUUUGGUGGUUGGGGGAAAAUGGAAAAGUAUCUGUUUGGUCAAAAUGUUCAAAUAUGCCUUUUGUUUCUUUAUUUUAACCUAUUCCUUAUUGCCAAGGACCCAUUCCUAUUGUUCUUACUGGUAUAAUGAACUCCAGUAACACAAAGGUUAUCUUUGGAUUGGAGAAAGGGAAUAAGCUAAUCUAAGGUGACUCAGACCAGAAAAACAAGGGCAACUUGUUCAGCCAUGCAAUUUAGAAUGGGCCCAGGAACCAAAAGAAAUUAGUACAGGUGGAAAAGAAAUCAUACUUUGUGAAAAGUUAAGAAUUUUAAUAAAAAUGGAAAC